rnacentral:lncRNA from 1 species
GGGGUGGUAUGCUGCCUUGGCCAAGCUCUGCCAGCUGAGUGACCUUGGACAAGAGACAUGAGCUUUCUUAGCCUUGGCUUCCUUAUCUGUAAAGUAGGGGUGAUGCUAGUACCAUCUUCACAGGCCAUCUGGCCUGAGAGGGAGAACCUGGCACACCACGCAUAUCCAAUUAAGCAGAAGAAGGUGCCUGACUGCAUGAGUGUCAUCCCAUUGAAUCUUCUGGGAGGUCCUACAAGCUGGGAGCCUCGGGAAGAAGAGUGGUG